GGUCACAAAGCCUCCCCUUGGCUACCAGCCCACACGCAGACCCCCAGGCCAGGCUCCGCAGUCACCAGCCCGCGGGAGCCUCGCCCAGCCCCCUCGGCGGGCCUGGACCAUGUGGCCAACGGGAGACGCUUCCCGUCGGCAUAGGGAGCGUCUUCGCUGAGGGCUUGACUGUACCUAGCUGUGCUGCUGUGGCACGUACUGCUGCAGCCAGAGCCCUGGGCCAUUUAAAUCGCUGCCAGAGCCUUGUGCAGCACUGAGGGCUGGCUGGGGGAGGCACAGCACAGUCCAGGUGCUGUUGGGGGUUCGCUGCCCUUAACCCUGCCUCUUCCAUCCAAAUCCCUGCCCUUCCAGGGGCCCAGAGCCAAGCCACCCCCAAUUUGUCUAGGGCCCUGCAACAUCUGUCACCAACCAUGCCUAGGGGAGAGCUUGUGCCAGCAUAGCGAAUGCACCUCGCACUCACAGUGUAUAGUUUGAGACCCGGAAGCUGAUGAAGCCACCAGAAUCCAUUCACUUAUGGAACUUGAGCCUAUGUUGAACCCAAACCUUCAAAAAUAAGAGAAAUCCUCCAUUGCAGCUUUUGAUUGAGGACACUGACCUCAAUUUAAAAAUAUAAAUAAAUAACAUCAGACUGCCUCCUACUGCAUCAACUCUGCCCUCAUCUUUCCCUGCUGUGUUGCUGCUGUCACAAGUUUGUCUGAUGCUUGCUAGAAAUUAAUACAUUACUCACGUCUGCACCCCCCUCAGAUGCAGGAAAUCUGCUAAACCUCAGUGAGGCCUGUGGAGUUGAGGCACUAAAGGAGCACUCAAGGAAGACAAGGUUGUUGUAGAAAAGCUAAACGGUCUUCACCGUGGAGGAUGAAAGGAUUUCCAUACCCGAGCCACUCUUUUUCGAUGACAAAUCUGAAGAACUGCCCAGAUUGAGGUGACAAUAAAGGAGGUUUUGAAACAAAUUGAUAAAUUAAACAGUAAUACAUUACUAGGACUAGAUCAAGGUGAGCAAUAAUUUUUGAUGGCGGGACCGCUCCAAGAAUUUGGUAAACAGUCAAGGUCUGCACUUUUCCAUGGUAUUAAUGGAGAACGUGUGGGGUCAGGAAUGGAAAUUGAGUGUAGAAGGGAUCUUGGAAUAAGGGAUUAGAGUGCAGGAGAGAGUGUGGAAUCUGGGAGGAAGCUUGGAUGAAGAAGCAGGUUGUGACCUGGAGCAGGAGACUGGGGUGCAGAAAGGGGUGCAGGGUCUGGGAGGGGGGAU